AUGGGAACGCGAAGAACCUUACCUACUCUUGACAUCCAGAGAACUUAGCAGAGAUGCUUUGGUGCCUUCGGGAACUCUGAGACAGGUGCUGCAUGGCUGUCGUCAGCUCGUGUUGUGAAAUGUUGGGUUAAGUCCCGCAACGAGCGCAACCCUUAUCCUUUGUUGCCAGCGGUUAGGCCGGGAACUCAAAGGAGACUGCCAGUGAUAAACUGGAGGAAGGUGGGGAUGACGUCAAGUCAUCAUGGCCCUUACGAGUAGGGCUACACACGUGCUACAAUGGCGCAUACAAAGAGAAGCGACCUCGCGAGAGCAAGCGGACCUCAUAAAAUGCGUCGUAGUCCGGAUUGGAGUCUGCAACUCGACUCCAUGAAGUCGGAAUCGCUAGUAAUCGUAGAUCAGAAUGCUACGGUGAAUACGUUCCCGGGUCUUGUACACACCG
rnacentral:rRNA from 1 species